UGAGGAAUAUUGGUCAAUGGACGGAAGUCUGAACCAGCCAUGCCGCGUGAAGGAUGAAGGCGUUCUGCGUUGUAAACUACUUCUAUCAGGGAAGAAACCUAUUUUUUCUAAGAUAGUUGACGGUACCUGAGGAAUAAGCACCGGCUAACUCCGUGCCAGCAGCCGCGGUAAUACGGAGGGUGCAAGCGUUAUCCGGAUUUACUGGGUUUAAAGGGUGUGUAGGCGGGCAGUUAAGUCUGGGGUGAAAUCUCGGAGCUCAACUCGGGGACUGCAUUGGAUACUAUUUGCCUUGAAUUAUGUUGGGGUUGGCGGAAUCUAUCAUGUAGCGGUGAAAUGCAUAGAUAUGUUGUAGGACACCGAUUGCGAAGGCAGCUGACUAAGCAUGUAUUGACGCUGAGGCACGAAAGCGUGGGUAGCGAACA
rnacentral:rRNA from 1 species